rnacentral:rRNA from 1 species
CAGUAGCCGCGGGAAUACGGAGGGUGCAAGCGUUAAUCGGAAUUACUGGGCGUAAAGCGCACGCAGGCGGUCUGACAAGUCAGAUGUGAAAUCCCCGGGCUUAACCUGGGAACUGCAUUUGAAACUGUCAGGCUGGAGUCUUGUAGAGGGGGGUAGAAUUCCAGGUGUAGCGGUGAAAUGCGUAGAGAUCUGGAGGAAUACCGGUGGCGAAGGCGGCCCCCUGGACAAAGACUGACGCUCAGGUGCGAAAGCUUGGGGAGCAAACAGGAUUAGAUACCCCUGUAGUCCCUGUCUCUUAUAC